UACGAAGGGGGCUAGCGUUGUUCGGAAUCACUGGGCGUAAAGGGCGCGUAGGCGGCUUUAUAAGUCGGGGGUGAAAGCCUGUGGCUCAACCACAGAAUUGCCUUCGAUACUGUAGAGCUUGAGACCGGAAGAGGUUAGUGGAACUGCGAGUGUAGAGGUGAAAUUCGUAGAUAUUCGCAAGAACACCGGUGGCGAAGGCGGCCAACUGGACCAUUACUGGACGCUGAGGCGCGAAAGCGUGGGAGCAAACAGG
rnacentral:rRNA from 1 species